rnacentral:sRNA from 1 species
GGCGGGGUGAAAGGUUGCGAAGAUGGCGACGGCCUUGAGCGAGGAGGAGCUGGACAAUGAAGACUAUUACUCGUUGCUGAACGUGCGCAGGGAGGCCUCUUCUGAAGAGCUGAAAGCUGCCUACCGGAGGCUGUGUAUGCUCUACCAUCCAGACAAGCACAGAGACCCAGAGCUCAAGUCACAGGCAGAACGACUGUUUAACCUUGUUCACCAGGCUUAUGAAGGUUGUGGAAAGGAGAAGAACCCCUGCUGAAAUUCGAGAGGAGUUUGAGCGGCUGCAGAGAGAGAGGGAAGAGAGGAGGCUGCAGCAGCGAACCAAUCCCAAGGGAACGAUCAGCGUUGGAGUAGAUGCCACUGACCUUUUUGAUCGCUAUGAUGAGGAGUAUGAAGAUGUGUCCGGCAGUAGCUUUCCGCAGAUUGAAAUUAAUAAAAUGCACAUAUCCCAGUCCAUUGAGGCACCCUUGACAGCGACAGACACAGCCAUCCUCUCUGGAAGCCUCUCAACCCAGAAUGGAAAUGGAGGAGGUUCCAUUAACUUUGCGCUCAGACGAGUAACUUCGGCAAAGGGAUGGGGAGAGUUGGAAUUUGGAGCCGGAGACCUACAGGGGCCUUUGUUCGGUCUCAAGCUGUUCCGUAAUCUCACACCAAGAUGCUUUGUGACAACAAACUGUGCUCUGCAGUUUUCAUCCCGUGGAAUCCGACCCGGCCUGACCACUGUCCUAGCGCGGAACCUAGACAAGAACACCGUGGGCUAC